rnacentral:rRNA from 1 species
UUUAUGGAGAGUUUGAUCCUGGCUCAGGAUGAACGCUGGCGGCGUGCCUAAUACAUGCAAGUCGAGCGAACGGAUGAGAAGCUUGCUUCUCUGAUGUUAGCGGCGGACGGGUGAGUAACACGUGGAUAACCUACCUAUAAGACUGGGAUAACUUCGGGAAACCGGAGCUAAUACCGGAUAAUAUUUUGAACCGCAUGGUUCAAAAGUGAAAGA